GUCUACAGCCAUGCCACCCUGAACAAGCCCUAUCCCUCCUGAUCUAGGAAGCUAAGCAGGGUCGGGCCUGGUUAGUACUUGGAUGGGAGACCACUUAGGAAUAUCGGGUGCUGUAGGCG
rnacentral:rRNA from 1 species